rnacentral:rRNA from 1 species
CAAUAGCGUAUAUUAAAGUUGUUGCGGUUAAAAAGCUCGUAGUCGGAUUUCUGCCGAGGACGACCGGUCCGCCCUCUGGGUGAGUAUCUGGCUCGGCCUGGGCAUCUUCUUGGAGAACGUAGCUGCACUUGACUGUGUGGUGCGGUAUCCAGGACUUUUACUUUGAGGAAAUUAGAGUGUUUCAAGCAGGCUUACGCCUUGAAUACAUUAGCAUGGAAUAAUAAGAUAGGACCUCGGUUCUAUUUUGUUGGUUUCUAGAGCUGAGGUAAUGAUUAAUAGGGAUAGUUGGGGGCAUUCGUAUUUAACUGUCAGAGGCGAAAUUCUUGGAUUUGUUAAAGACGGACUACUGCGAAAGCAUUUGCCAAGGAUGUUUUCAUUGA